rnacentral:rRNA from 1 species
AUGUAUGUAUGUAUACUACACUGUACAGUAUUGUUGUACUUGUACAAUACAGAUAGAGAUGUAAAUAUAAAUUAUAAAAAAUAUAUUUUUUUCAUCUUCUUUGUUUUCACCUCUAUACACCACCGUUACACGCCUGCAUGCAAAUACACCGAUACUACGAUCCUUCAGAAGACAAGAACAAACUAUCACAGAAUCAACCUCAACAUACAAAAAACUGAACGCGCACCUGAUGAUAACUCAGUCUCAGCUUCCGCUAAAAUGAAUCAUACUAACUUGAGGAGGUCAUCCUUGGUGGCUUUCCUCCAAAUUUCCAACGAAUCUUCCAGACAUUGUUGA